AUCUAUUGAAGAAAAACUGUUUAAUUUAAUAAAAAUAUUUUAAUGUUGUAAUCCAUCGGGUUAAUAUCUUCGCGGGACCACCAAACGUCUCAAUUAUUCUAAUUUUGAUAUGGAUGUAGAACCAAGUACGAGCAACAGAAAAGAUGAAAAAUGUAAUGCAAAUAACCAACGUUUGAUAGCCGAAAGCGGCGGCCGUUGCAUGAGCACACAAGCGAUGCAGUCACUCUACGAUUUCCGACAAAAUAAUUUGCUUUGCGAUGCAGUAUUGAGAUUAGAGGACGGUGGUGUUUUCCCGAUUCACCGAGCUAUACUUUCAGCAUGCAGUACUUAUUUCAGGACAUUAUUCACAACUACAUUGCAUUCUCGUGAGAAAACCGAUGUCCUUCUACCAGGUGUGACGAGCCCGAUGAUGAAUCUUUUGCUGGAAUACGCAUAUUUGCGAUCUAUUGAUGUGAAUCGUGAAAAUGUAUGCGAAUUGUUGACCACGGCGGAUUAUUUAAGUAUUCUGGGUGUACUUGAUCUGUGCUGCGACUAUCUAAGGGAUAAUUUGGCGCCGGAAAAUUGCAUCGGAGUGAUGAGAUUCGCUCGUCAGCAUUUUUGCAAAAAGUUGGAAAAUGAUGCUUAUCGUUUUAUUGUAGGACACUUUGUCGAGGUAUCUCAGAGAAGCGAAGAAAUUUUAUAUUUACCCAUCGAGGAAUUAAAGCCGUUAGUCGGCGCCGAUGAACUAAACGUGAAAAGCGAGCAGACGGUUUGGGAGCUGAUACUGAGAUGGAUAAAUCACGAUCUAGAAUCUAGAAAAGAUUAUAUAGUGGACCUAAUGAAGAAUAUUAGACUCGGUCUCUUAGACACGCAGUUUUUUCUGGAGAAUGUCAAAGAUCAUCCUUACGUCGUGGGCAAUGAUGCGUGUAGACCCAUCAUCAUCGAAACUCUGAAAUUUCUAUACGAUUUGGAGAUGAUCACCCAGAAAGACGGAGAAGUGCCAACACCGGAAAUCGCGCGACCUAGAGUUCCACAUGAGAUUUUGUUCGCCAUCGGUGGAUGGAGCGGUGGCUCGCCAACAAAUUAUAUCGAGACUUAUGAUACGAGAGCAGAUCGAUGGAUUCCGAUCGAAGAAACAGAUCCAACCAGUCCACGAGCUUAUCAUGGACUCGCAGUGAUUGGAUUCAAUAUCUACGUUAUCGGAGGGUUCGACGGGGUCGAUUAUUUCAACAGUUGUCGUUGUUUCAACGCGGUGACCAAGGUGUGGCGAGAGGUUGCUCCCAUGAACGCUAGAAGAUGUUACGUUAGUGUGGCAGUUUUGAACGAUCUGGUCUACGCGAUGGGAGGAUAUGAUGGAUAUCAUCGGCAAAAAACGGCGGAGCGUUACGACUAUAAGACAAAUCAGUGGUCCCUCAUUGCACCUAUGAACGUGCAGAGAUCUGACGCCAGCGCAACUACUUUGAACGACAAAAUAUAUAUUACGGGCGGUUUCGACGGGCAUGAUUGUCUGAAUACAGCCGAGGUAUAUGAUCCAAACACCAAUCAGUGGACAAUGAUAACUGCAAUGAGGUCACGCAGGAGCGGCGUGUCGUGCAUAUCUUAUCACGGCUACGUUUAUGUUAUUGGUAUUAAGACAUGUACUUAUUGCGAAAGAAAUCCUGUCACGGAGGCUUCAACGGAAUAUCGAGAAUGUGCAGCGGGGAAAAAUAUAAGCCUUCUACGAACACGUGGAGUCAUAUUCCGGAUAUGUAUAAUCCGCGUAGCAACUUUGCCAUUGAAGUCAUUGACGAUAUGAUUUUUGCUAUCGGUGGAUUUAACGGUGUUACUACGACGUACCAAGUGGAAUGUUACGAUGAAAAAACGAACGAAUGGUAUGAAGCAACGGAUAUGAACAUAUGCAGAUCGGCAUUAUCGGCUUGCGUGAUCAUGGGUCUUCCAAACGUAUACGAUUAUAUACACAAGCAUCGCGAGCGAUUGAUGGAGGAGAAGCGUCAAAAACUACUGGCUCACGAAGUACGCCGGAGUCAGCAUCAACAACAGCAGGAACAGGAGCAAAUGAGACAAACUAUGCAGAUUACUCAAGCCAUACCAACACCACCAUCUCUACCACGAACAAGCGAGAACGAUAAUAAUAAUAAUAAUCGUUGGCGUUAAAGCCAAUAAUUAUUAUCAUUAAAUUGAAGAAGCCAUGCAAUACCUGUCUCAUUCAAUUCAUCCGCAAUGCAAAUUUUAGAUUAUUGCCAGUCGCGUAACCCGGAAUAACAAUCACAAAGAUAAAUUAGAGAAUCAAUGUCACUUGAUCAAUAUCAUCUGAUCAAAUUGUCAAUGAUAAUAACACAGAGACAACUGUUUAUAUAUACUUAUUAUUUAUAUUAUUCUUGUCUACUUCGCGAAAAGAAUAUUUUCAGACUGCCAUUUACUCAUCUUUGUUAAGUUAAAUCUUUUUUGAUACUGCAAAUAUUUUCUAUCGAAUCUUUUUGCGAUGCAAUUUUACGCAUAUUAUAUAAUGUCAUCUUGAAUAAUUGAAGCAAUUUAGAGGACGAACAGCCAUUUUUAUCGCAAAUACUAAUAAUAUUCCAUUGUUACACAUAAUAAUAUUAACACAGAUUGAAACAGCUGCAACGUACAUAUUAAAAAGACCGAAAACAUUGAAGGAAAACAAAUGAUAAAAUGAGGCGAGAAAUGCAGAAACAUAAAGAAAUAUAUCAACGUAAUCUGAUGAGACAUAAAAUAAUUUUGUAAUAGAAAACAUGACGAAUCGCCCAUCCAAACAAGUGUUCACAAAAUAAUUUCUUAAGUCCGACAUUUCAUGUGACAGCAAUGUUCUUUCUACAUGUGUAACAAAAAAUAAAAUUACAGUAACUUGUACAAAA